UUACACUAUGGAAAUUAACGAAAUAUUACUAAAAAACAAGCCUAUGGCGGUGUCUAUUUCAAGAUGAAUAAUAAACAAAAUUCAAUUGUCUAUUUGUUGAUAUAAGUCGUAAAGCAUGAUGACCUCUGGCAUUUACGAGAUUUGGUGUUGAAAACUGCAGACCAUGAUUAUCACCCACUGUUGCGCACAGUUUUCUGUACUGCUUUCGCUAGCAAACGCCAGUGCUCGCAUUUGAUUGGUCAAACGGCGUUUCUUUUGCUAAUUGAGAACACUCUUCAGUUUUAUUUUGGUUUCUGUGUAUUUUGUUGAUUUUGUUGUCGGACUUGGUAGUAUUAGGCAAGGGUAUUAGGCAAGGCAUUAGGCAUUUUUUCAGUCGCACCGUUCCCGUGGUAUUAACUAUUAUGAGCUUAAUCACCGUUAUCACCUCAUCCACCGUCUGCUCAAUGUGUUCAUUGCUGGCAGUGGUUCAGGAGGCAGUGGUUCGAUCCCAGCUGUAGAACGUCACCUGCAGGAAGUAGCAUUGUGAUGGCCAGCCACUUGGCGCUUGUAUCCAGCCACAUUGUCCAGAAACCAUCACGUCAUUUCUAGGUCCCUGGUCGCGGGUGCUCGAGCUGACUGUGUCUUCAACGGCUCCACGGUGACCAGCGCCGCCACCGCCGAGACCAUCCGAUUCCUGAAAUGAUAAUGGCCGUACACGAACAAGAGGCUCUAUGCAUCCAGGUGCAAGUCAAGCGCCAUGCUCAGAGGCGUCAUCCGGAGAAGGCCGCACAGUGCACUUUAGGCUGAGCUCGGGUGUAGUGCGCGCUGACGGAUAGGAUGAAAUUACGGGCCGGCCAUCAGAUUUCAGUGCGGGGAUCAAGAUGGUCGGAGCCGAUAUGGCUCGGUUGAUGGUGUGUCAGGGUUGAUUGAGAGUGGAGGCGAGACACCCGGAUGUGAAGGAUACACCGAUACGGGUCUCGACGUCGUCUCGCAAUUUGUGCUAUGUAAUAUGACGGCUAUGCCAUGGUAUCAUUCACUCUCGAUGCGCUAAUAAGUAGUAAAUAGGACAGAGACUGGAAUUAAUAUUAUUAUAUUUGGAUGUAAGGGCCAGGUUUUGGCCAGCGCUAUAUUAGAAAUCGUGAGCGUGCUAGUUGCAAUCAAUCGCGCGCUUCUUGCUGAGCAUCUGUGAGCGAAAAAUACUUUCUCUGGAACGUUCGUCGUAAAAUAUGUGUACCUAUCUUUGGAAUAAGUUGUCAGAACAUGAAUGCAUUUUUGGUGUCCACUGCAGCUGCUGUUCUGGAACAGAAACAUACCGAGAUCGGCUGUGUAUGUACUAUGUACGCUGUGGCAAAAUCAAGCAGCCGGGCCAUGAGUCAAAAGCGAUAUGUGAAUUAAAGUGGAUAUAUUUCACUUUUUCAGUUUAAUCAUACAGAUAACAGAAAUGCGUCAAAUACUGAUCACACCCGGUUCCAAACAACUAAACGCCUGCGAUCACUGGAAAGUAAAUAAACAAUAGAUACCCAU